rnacentral:rRNA from 1 species
AGAGGGGCCAACCUUUUUUGGGAUCUCUUGGGUUUAAAGGSGGGUUAGGGGSCGGGUUAAUUAGGGUGGGAAAUCUUCGAGUUCACCUGGGAAAAGCACUGGAAACUAUCCCGCUAGAGGAUCGCAGGGGAAAGGGGAAUUCUGGGUGUAGCAGUGAAAUGCGCAGAUAUUGAGAGGAACGCCAGUGGCGAAGGCGAGUCUCUGGGAAACUCCUGACACUGAGGCACGAAAGCUAGGGGAGCAAACAGGAUUAGAUACCCUGGUAGUCCUAGCUGUAAACGAUGCACAUUAAGUGUGAGACCAAUCAACCCCUUCCUUGGCGGAGCAAACGCGUUAAAAUAUCCCGCCUGGGGAGUACGGCCGCAAGGUUG